rnacentral:rRNA from 1 species
AUUGAACGCUGGCGGCAGGCCUAACACAUGCAAGUCGAACGGUAGCACAGAGAGCUUGCUCUCGGGUGACGAGUGGCGGACGGGUGAGUAAUGUCUGGGAAACUGCCCGAUGGAGGGGGAUAACUACUGGAAACGGUAGCUAAUACCGCAUAACGUCGCAAGACCAAAGUGGGGGACCUUCGGGCCUCACACCAUCGGAUGUGCCCAGAUGGGAUUAGCUAGUAGGUGGGGUAAUGGCUCACCUAGGCGACGAUCCCUAGCUGGUCUGAGAGGAUGACCAGCCACACGGGAACUGAGACACGGUCCAGACUCCUACGGGAGGCAGCAGUGGGGAAUAUUGCACAAUGGGCGCAAGCCUGAUGCAGCCAUGCCGCGUGUAUGAAGAAGGCCUUCGGGUUGUAAAGUACUUUCAGCGGGGAGGAAGGCGGUGAAGUUAAUAGCUUCACCGAUUGACGUUACCCGCAGAGGAAGCACCGGCUAACUCCGUGCCAGCCGCCGCCGUAA